rnacentral:rRNA from 1 species
AGAGUUUGAUCCUGGCUCAGGAUGAACGCUGGCGGCGUGCUUAACACAUGCAAGUCGAGCGAAGCACUUUAACGGAAUUCUUCGGAAGGAAGAUAAAGUGACUGAGCGGCGGACGGGUGAGUAACGCGUGGGUAACCUGCCUCACACAGGGGGAUAACAGUUAGAAAUGACUGCUAAUACCGCAUAAGACCACAGCACCGCAUGGUGCAGGGGUAAAAACUCCGGUGGUGUGAGAUGGACCCGCGUCUGAUUAGGUAGUUGGUGAGGUAACGGCUCACCAAGCCGACGAUCAGUAGCCGACCUGAGAGGGUGACCGGCCACAUUGGGACUGAGACACAGCCCAAACUCCUACGGGAGGCAGCAGUGGGGAAUAUUGCACAAUGGGCGAAAGCCUGAUGCAGCGACGCCGCGUGAAGGAAGAAGUAUUUCGGUAUGUAAACUUCUAUCAGCAGGGAAGAAAAUGACGGUACCUGACUAAGAAGCCCCGGCUAACUACGUGCCAGCAGCCGCGGUAAUACGUAGGGGGCAAGCGUUAUCCGGAUUUACUGGGUGUAAAGGGAGCGUAGACGGCUCUGUAAGUCUGGAGUGAAAACCCGGGGCUCAACCCCGGGACUGCUUUGGAAACUAUGGAGCUAGAGUGUCGGAGAGGUAAGUGGAAUUCCUAGUGUAGCGGUGAAAUGCGUAGAUAUUAGGAGGAACACCAGUGGCGAAGGCGGCUUACUGGACGAUGACUGACGUUGAGGCUCGAAAGUGUGGGGAGCAAACAGGAUUAGAUACCCUGGUAGUCCACACUGUAAACGAUGAAUGCUAGGUGUAGGGGGUAUCGACCCCUUCUGUGCCGGAGUUAACACAAUAAGCAUUCCGCCUGGGGAGUACGGCCGCAAGGUUGAAACUCAAAGAAAUUGACGGGGGCCCACACAAGCAGCGGAGCAUGUGGUUUAAUUCGAAGCAACGCGAAGAACCUUACCAGGUCUUGACAUCCAAUAAAACUUGUAGAGAUACAUCGUGCCUUCGGGCGUAUUGAGACAGGUGGUGCAUGGUUGUCGUCAGCUCGUGUCGUGAGAUGUUGGGUUAAGUCCCGCAACGAGCGCAACCCUUGUGAUCAGUUACUAACGGAUAAUGCCGAGGACUCUGAUAAGACUGCCGGGGACAACUCGGAGGAAGGUGGGAACGACGUCAAAUCAUCAUGCCCCUUAUGUCCCGGGCUACACACGUAAUACAAUGGCGGUCAACAGAGGGAAGCAAAACCGCGAGGCAGAGCAAACCCCUAAAAGCCGUCUCAGUUCGGAUUGCAGGCUGCAACUCGCCUGCAUGAAGUUGGAAUUGCUAGUAAUCGUGGAUCAGCAUGCCACGGUGAAUACGUUCCCGGGCCUUGCACUCACAGCCCGUCA